CCUGGUGGCUUAGAUGGUAAAGAAUCUGCCUGCAGUGCAGGAGACCCAGGUUCAAUUCCUGGGUCAGGA
rnacentral:tRNA from 1 species